UUUUCUUUCUCUAUAUAUAGUUUGCAACUGUGAUUGGCAUGGUUCCAUACUAGCUGAUAUAAAGUGUAAUGAAAAGCGCAAUGCAUGUGAUUGUAAGCCUGGCUAUUCUGGCCACUUUUGUCAGAUAUGUGCACCAGGCUUUUACAGAACUGCUUCUUUUUAUCCUUGUCACAAAUGUCCUUGUCAGCCACCAAGCGCUCAAACACGUAAUUGUUCUGUAUAUGAAGGUUUCCUUCAAUGUGAAAAAUGUCAGUUAGGUUACACUGGUAACUUGUGUCAUACUUGUGACAAUGGAUUCUAUAGAUAUGGUAAACAUUGCAUUCCUUGUCGAUGCAAUGGAAACUCUAUGAAAAAUGCAACAAAUAUUUGUCAUCCAAUAACUGGUUCCUGCUUGCAUUGUUUCUACAACACAACUGGAUUUAAUUGUGAACGCUGUUUGGAUGGUUAUGUUGGUGAUGCUAUCAAAGAAAAGAACUGCACAUUAAGAAGAGAAUUGAUUACCUAUCAUCGCAAGGACUAUUCAUCUCUCGCUGUUGGAAUUGUUUUAGGUGUCUUUAUUUUCUUGGGCCUUAUUGUAGCUGUCAUAAUUUUAAUAAGGCGAUAUAACUUAAAAGGAAAGAGAUGGUCCUUUUUCAGUGUUGAAAUCAAGUGCAAUGAAAGUGAUUUUCAUUGUGUAUCUGGCAGUUAUGAUCACGAGCCAGAUGUAAUAUUUUAUGGAACUAAAUUAAAAUGUUCUAAUAAAUAUGUUAAAUUACAUGAAGAACACUAAAUUAACCUAUAGUAUCUUUGAAUUUGUUUUUUAUUUUCAGCUAAUGUCUAUAGAAAAAAAAGAUAUGUUAAAAAUUAUAUUUAUUGUAAAGUAAAUGUCCGCUUUUUUGUUAAAGGUUUGACUUGAAAAUUUUUAUAAAUUGUUCUUGGACGUUGUGGCUACAUUUAGAUAUUAAAAAUGAUUUUUUUUAUCAAUUUCA
rnacentral:sRNA from 1 species